UGGCUCAACCAACGGCAGGCAGUGGAGUACUAAAGAACUAGAGUGCGGUAGAGGUAGAGGGAAUCCCUAGCGUAACAGUGAAAUGUGUAGAUUUUAGGGAGAACACCAGCGGCGAAGGCGCUCUACUGGGCCGAUACUGACACUGAGAGACGAAAGCUAGAGGAGCGAAUAGGAUUAGAUACCCUAGUAGUUCUAGCUGUAAACGAUGGAAACUAAGAGGGGGUAACCCCCUUCUGUAGCUAACGCGUUAAGUUUCCCGCCUGGGGAGUAUGCCC
rnacentral:rRNA from 1 species